AACGAACGCUGGCGGCAUGCCUAACACAUGCAAGUCGAACGAUUGCCUUCGGGUGAUAGUGGCGCACGGGUGCGUAACGCGUGGGAAUCUGCCCUUAGGUUCGGAAUAACAGCUGGAAACGGCUGCUAAUACCGGAUGAUAUCGCGAGAUCAAAGAUUUAUCGCCUGAGGAUGAGCCCGCGUUGGAUUAGGUAGUUGGUGGGGUAAAGGCCUACCAAGCCGACGUUCCAUAGCUGGUCUGAGAGGAUGAUCAGCCACACUGGGACUGAGACACGGCCCAGACUCCUACGGGAGGCAGCAGUGGGGAAUAUUGGACAAUGGGCGCAAGCCUGAUCCAGCAAUGCCGCGUGAGUGAUGAAGGCCCUAGGGUUGUAAAGCUCUUUUACCCGGGAAGAUAAUGACUGUACCGGGAGAAUAAGCCCCGGCUAACUCCGUG
rnacentral:rRNA from 1 species